rnacentral:rRNA from 1 species
GUGGGGAAUUUUGGACAAUGGGCGCAAGCCUGAUCCAGCAAUGCCGCGUGCAGGAAGAAGGCCUUCGGGUUGUAAACUGCUUUUGUACGGAACGAAACGGUCCGGGUUAAUACCCUGGGCUAAUGACGGUACCGUAAGAAUAAGCACCGGCUAACUACGUGCAAGCAGCCGCGGUAAUACGUAGGGUGCAAGCGUUAAUCGGAAUUACUGGGCGUAAAGCGUGGGCAGGCGGUUUUGUAAGACAGGCGUGAAAUCCCCGGGCGCAACCUGGGAAUUGAGAUUGUGAAUGCAAGGCUGGAGUGCGGAAGAGGGGGAUGGAAUUCCGCGUGUAGCAGUGAAAUGCGUAGAUAUGCGGAGGAACACCGAUGGCGAAGGCAAUCACCUGGGCCUGCACUGACGCUCAUGCACGAAAGCGUGGGGAGCAAACAGGAUUAAAAACCCUGGUAGUCC